rnacentral:rRNA from 1 species
AUUGAACGCUGGCGGCAUGCCUUACACAUGCAAGUCGAACGGCAGCAUGGAGAGCUUGCUCUCUGAUGGCGAGCGGCGAACGGGUGAGUAAAGCAUCGGAACGUACCGUGUAGUGGGGGAUAACGUAGCGAAAGUUACGCUAAUACCGCAUACGCACUGAGGUGGAAAGCAGGGGAUCGUAAGACCUUGCGCUAUACGAGCGGCCGAUGUCAGAUUAGCUAGUUGGUAGGGUAAAGGCCUACCAAGGCGACGAUCUGUAGCGGGUCUGAGAGGAUGAUCCGCCACACUGGGACUGAGACACGGCCCAGACUCCGACGGGAGGCAGCAGUGGGGAAUUUUGGACAAUGGGGGCAACCCUGAUCCAGCCAUGCCGCGUGAGUGAAGAAGGCCUUCGGGUUGUAAAGCUCUUUCGGCCGGGAAGAAAUCGCACAGGCUAAUACCCUGUGUGGAUGACGGUACCGGCAUAAGAAGCACCGGCUAACUACGUGCCAGCCGCCGCCGUAA